CCCACCCCAGAAUCAUUGUAGGUGUGACUGUUGUGUCACAUAGGCAUCAGUAGGUGGCAGAGGGGAGAGAGGUUGUCUACUCUCAGUGUAGAAUCUAUGAAAAUCUGAAUGAUUAGUAGCUUAACAUU